rnacentral:sRNA from 1 species
GUCAAAUUAUUAACUAAGGAGUCAGCUGUGAGCUGGCUUUUUUGUGGAGAAAAGCCCUCUCUUCCUUUUUUUUAUUUUGACACAGGCGCAGGAUGUCAGUAUUAGCGCCUUAAAUAAUAGCCAGUGACCGAUAACCAGCGUUAGAUUUUGUUUUGGUGUAAGGAGGUUCUCGUUUCUAUUUUUUAAUUUCGGUCAAUACCAACCGCACGAGUCGAACGUGCGUGAUACCGUUAUUGGUUAUAUCCAUUCAAUUAGUGGAUUUUCAAUGUGUUCUAUCCCAUCACCAAUCCACUCUUUGACAUUAAAUUCUCGCUCAAUAUCUUGAGUCCUUGGCAUAACGUUAAUAUCACUAAAACUCAGCAUGUCGUCUUUUGUAUUUUGCAAAAAAUAAAUGUUUUUAACUUGUCUUGUUAAAGAGUCGCCAUGCACCACCACACCAUUUAUCCCUCUUAUAGACAUAUUAAAGAGUAGAAACGGUACUGCUUUGUCCGAUAACUCUUCUACGUGAUACCAGUAUUUACUCGGACGAUAAGUAAAUGGACUGUCAUUUAAUCGUUGUUCUUGCCAUGCUUGGAUAAGUAUCCCACCCGUCCCGACUGCUACCUCGUAGUAUUGAUUACCACUUAUUAUUUUAGAUAAUAGUGUACUAACCGAUUUAGGCGUAAAGUCUUGCUUUUUAUUUUUGCGGUCAGCUUGUUCUUCCUCAAAAUAUUGCAUAAACCAGUCGUAAGAUACAUCUGUUUCAUAUUUCAAAAACUGUCUAAAUAUAUCCUCACGACUAUCUUUAUCAAAGAGUAUGUCCGUAAGUCGUUUGGGUGCUUUAUAAACUUCGUCGAUGCCUAGUAUGCGAUGUAUCUCAUCGAUCUUAAUCAUGUUACCCUCCGUUAUUCGUUAAAUCAGCAAUCCGCUUUGUCUGUCUCUGAUUUUGCUCACUCGCACGUUUAAGCUGCUUUUGUGUCCUGCUUAGCUGUGUACGUAGUCCGUAUAUUUGCGGUUCAUAAUAGCUUUUAAGCGAUACGCAAAGCCCUGAUACGACAAUCAGCAUAACUGUUAGUGCAGCGAUAAUGAUGCUUUUCUUUUUGAUUGCUUUGUCUUUUUUUACUAACUCAUAAAGCAAGCAAUCAAUCAUCUGUUCUUCAGUCAUCCGUUUACCCCUUCAUGUAGUACUCGUUUACGCGCUUGCCGCUAGCUAACUCUAGCUGUCUAAUAAACCGCAUCGCUUCGUUUUUAGUAGUAGUCAUGUGUCUCCAAUUCAUCAAGAUAGCCUUGAUUGACAUAGUAUGAGCCAAUCAAAAUAGCGUCUGCUUCGUCGUCUUUGACCGAUUUAUUAAAUUCUUGCUCCACUUUUAUUUUUGACUGUAAUUUCAUGGACUUCUUGCUUCGGUCUUUGUAGCUA